rnacentral:rRNA from 1 species
UACGUAGGGGGCAAGCGUUGUCCGGAAUCAUUGGGCGUAAAGCGCGUGUAGGCGGCUCGAUAAGUCUGCUGUGAAAGUCCAGGGCUCAACCCUGGGAUGCCGGUGGAUACUGUCGAGCUCGAGUCCGGAAGAGGCGAGUGGAAUUCCUGGUGUAGCGGUGAAAUGCGCAGAUAUCAGGAAGAACACCAAUGGCGAAGGCAGCUCUCUGGGACGGUACUGACGCUGAGACGCGAAAGCGUGGGGAGCGAACAGG